AAGAGGGUUUCUUUGUGAAGACAUUGCUUGAUACUUGUUGAGCAAGGAGAUGAAAAAGAUUGAAUUUUUAAAGUUAUAUAUUGAAUCAAAUGCGAAUUGGCGGCUGUAAGAGAGACAUUACUGUGUCGGAGACAUGCGAGGAGCUCAAGCUUUAAACUUCCUUCGCAAAACAACGACGCUAGCUCAACACAUACGUUCUACGGCGGCGACUCGUUUGGAGUUUGGUUCGUGUCUCGAAGCAAACCCUAGCGACCUAGUUUAUACCCAUAACUGCAAAAUCGAUGAUUUGUUAAAAUCCGGUGACCUAAUAUCUGCACACGAGGUGUUCGAUGAAAUGUCCCUACGAGAUGUCAUCACUUAUAAUCUGAUGAUAUCUGGGAACAGCCGAAACGGGUGUUCUGUAAAAGCUUUCGAGCUCUACGCGGAGAUGGUCUCUCAUGGUCUUAGAGAGAACGCUUCCACGUUUCCUUCUGUUCUUAGUGUAUGUAGUGGUGAUGAAUGGUUAUGCAGAGAAGGGAUUCAAGUUCACUGCAGGGUGAUCUCGCUUGGGUUUGAGUGUAAUAUGUUCAUUAGGUCUGCACUUGUGGGUCUCUAUACUUCUUUGCGGCUCGUUUAUGUUGCUCUCAAGCUGUUCGAUGAAAUGCCUGAGAGAAACUUAGCUGUUUGUAAUUUGAUGCUGAGAUGUUAUUGCGAGAAUGGAGAUUCGAAGGGGUUGUUUGGAGUGUAUCGUAGGAUGGGAGUUGAAGGUGUCGAUGAGAACGGGUUGAGUUAUUGUUAUAUGAUCCGUGGUUGUUCUAAUGAUCGGUUGUUAUGCGAAGGGAAGCAAUUGCAUUCUCUAGUGGUUAAAUCUGGUUGGAACGUUUGUAAUAUAUUUGUGGGUAAUGCGCUUGUGGACUUGUACUCUGCUUGUGGUGAUUUAUACGGUUCUAAGACAUCAUUUGAUGAUGUCCAGGAACAGGAUGUGAUAUCGUGGAACUCGAUUGUUUCUGUGUUUGCUGAUUACGGGUCUAUGCUUGAGUCUCUUGAUUUGUUUAGAAAGAUGCAGUUUUGGGGGAAGAGACCUUCAGUGAGGUCAUUCAUGUCGUUUUUGAAUUUCUGUAGCAGAAACAGUGAUACUCAGUCUGGGAAGCAGAUCCAUUGUUAUGUCCUCAAAAUGGGAUUUGAUGUUUCUAGUGUUCAUGUGCAGUCUGCUCUAAUUGACAUGUACGGCAAAUGCAAUGACAUUGAGAGUUCUGUGUCUGUUCAUCAGAGUCUGCCUCGCCUGACUCUGGAGUGUUGUAACUCGCUGAUGACUUCUCUUAGGCACUGCGGCAUCACUAAAGAUAUCAUCGAGAUGUUUGGUUUGAUGAUUGAUGAAGGAACUGGAAUCGACGAAGUCACUCUUUCUACUGUCCUCAAGGCUUUAUCACUCUCUGAAGCAGUAACUUCACAGAGCUGCACGCUUGUACAUUGCUGUGCCAUCAAAUCCGGAUACGCAUCUGACGCUGCAGUCUUGUGCUCUCUAAUCGAUGCCUAUUCGAAGAGCGGCGAGAAUGAAGUGUCUCGGAAGGUGUUUGAUGAGAUUGAUUCACCUAACGUAUUCUGCUGGACCUCGAUCAUCAAUGGAUAUGCUAGAAAUGGCAUGGGAAGAGACUGUGUUGAGAUGCUGAAAGAAAUGGAUGGAAAGAAUCUCGUACCAGACGAAGUUACAAUCUUGUCUGUGCUAUCAGGUUGCAGUCACUCUGGGCUUGUUGAAGAAGGUGAAGUGAUUUUCAACUCAUUGGAGUCGAAGCACGGGAUAGUCCCAGGAAGGAAACUGUAUGCGUGCAUGGUGGAUUUGCUAGGCCGUGCUGGUUUGGUGGAAAAGGGCGAGAAGCUGCUUCUUAAGGCACGUGGAGAUGCAGACUGCAUAGCGUGGAGCUCAUUGCUGCAGAGCUGCAGGGUUCAUGGAAACGAAGCAAUAGGAAGAAGAGCAGCGGAGGUUUUGAUGGAUCUUGAACCUGACAACUUCGCUGUUUACAUUCAAGUUUCUAAGUUUUACUUUGAGAUUGGUGACUUUGAAAUCUCCAGGCGAAUCAGAGAGAUUGCUGCCUCACGAGAGCUCAUGAGAGAGAUUGGUUACAGUUCAGUCAUCUUGAGAAACUGAUAACGGAGGACAGUAAUUUGCUUCAGCUUCAUGAUAAAGAAGAGUGUACAUAUGUGAAAUGGGUUCUUUUACUUGAAGCCACCACACAUGAUUUGACAACACUCUACAAGCACAAGACGCAAGGAUAAGAUUCUUUAUUUGCCUGAUUGAUCUCAUGGGACCAACAUGCAUCAAGAACAAGUUGACCACAAAGGUUUUGUGUUGUAGAGGUUUUGGAGUAAAGCAAAGAAGUGGAAAAGAACAUGACUUGUGCUUUAAGCGUAGAUAUUGUAGAAAAACAAGGCUUCUUCUUCUUCAUGUACUUUUAAGCCAAGCCAAUAAACCCCACAAACCGCAUUAAUUAGUAUGCAUUAUAAAUUCAUUCUGAAACCAAAUCGUCUCUGCAUAUUA